rnacentral:rRNA from 1 species
UACGGGGGGGGGCGAGCGUUGUUCGGAAUCACUGGGCGUAAAGGGCGCGUAGGCGGCCCGCACAAGUCUGCGGUGAAACCCCCCGGCUUAACCGGGGGCCGGCCGUGGAAACUGUCGGGCUGGAGGCCGGGAGAGGGCAGCGGAAGUUCCCGGUGUAGCGGUGAAAUGCGUAGAGAGUCGGGAGGAACACCGGCGGCGAAGGCGGCUGCCUGGACCGGCCCUGACGCUGAGGCGCGAAAGCUAGGGGAGCAAACAGG